rnacentral:piRNA from 1 species
UGAGGUGCAUAUCUGUUGCCAACUGGCAUUA